UAAUAUACUUCUAACCUAACAACACUUGUUUCAAGUAUGUCUACGGCGUGACUUGAACCCUCAACCUCAAGGAGGAAGGGCACCACCUGAUAUCGCUGGGCUACAACGAAAUGACUUCUUUUUAUUUUUAUUUUUUUAAUGGUUUUUAAUUUUCAAAUUUCAAUAUCUUAAAUAAAUAACCGUUCAGAAGACCUUUAACCUAAUCGGCCGGAUCGAAACAAGCUUGUUAAUCUCAGCCGUCUAUUAUAUCAACAUUCGGAUCUAACCAGUUGCCCUUCCUCUAUAUAACAACUCGUUUCCUCUUUCCCAGACUCAGCUUUCAAUUAGGGUUUACGUUUUAUCAAACAUCUGAUUAUUUCUCCGCCGUUGGAGUCUACAAGGAUUUAAAACUCUACAAACCCUAGAAGGGUUAGAUUUUCGUUCAAGGAGGGUGUAAAAAGGGGUUGCAUUUUGAAGGAAAGAGUUAGCAUCUAGUGUUUGAUCCAUGGUUGUUAGAAAUAUCAUCCAUAAUUAAUGACUUUAGAUGCUAUUGCAAUCGGUCUUUCAUUUGGAUAAAUCAACAACUGUUUUAAUGUCUUUAGAUAUUAUUUCAAUCAGUCUCUUAUUUAUUUGGAUAAAUCAAUAACUAUAUGAAAUCUAAUAUUUUUAAAUAAUCAAAAGAGAGUAGGUUCUAAACAUGCAAAAUGAACACAAUAAUAAUGAAUUAACAGAAAUGGUAGCAAAACCAGCUUAAAUUAACACAAAUGGUAGCCAAACCAACUUAUUAUUAACUCACCACAAAAUAAUCAUCAAAUUAGUUAUACUUUUAUUUUUUAUAAGUUUCAAAGUAUAUGAUAUAUGCAUAUCUAUAUACAUAUUUUACAUAAUAUCUUAAUAUUUCUAGUCAUUUUUAUGCCCUUUAUAUAACAAAAAGGUACAUAAUCUAUUGUAUGAUGUGUUGUAGUGGUAAAAUAGAUGCUCGGAGCAAAAAAGAAGUUGAAAGUUGGAAGCUAGGAAUUUGGAUGACGAUAAAAAAAUGAAGAAAAAUACACUCUCCACGUUGUGGCAACAUUCCCACGACGUGGCUUUUUGGAUUUUCCCGAUGAAUCUAGAAGACUUGUUGAAUACAAGAUAAACACGAAGGCCACGACUUCGUGGUGAUAUGUUUUCGGGAAAACUAUACAUUGAAGCCAUUAUCCUCCGAAAAUAGAACUUUGGCCAGAAGCUAUUGUCGUCUUUUGAAGGCCGAGUACCCACUUUGAAGUUUGGAGUUGCGAAAGUCGAUCAUAGCUUGGAAUCGAGAUAAUUGAGGCAAUACAACAUUCUAUUACGAUUUUCUACUUAAGUUUAAUCUUGUCUAUUAUGAUGAAUUUUGUUUUGCUGUUUUUACUUGCUGAAAUCAUGGGCUAAAACCCUAUGACUUUCGUUAAGUUUAGAUUGACUUUUUAUGUCUUGAUUUAUGGUUUAAGUUAUGUUUUGUUGGUUAUUUGUUACUUUACCUUAUUAAAGAACCUUCUAUGCUUAUGAGAACUACUUUUAUGUUUA